CCUACGGGUGGCAGCAGUGGGGAAUAUUGCACAAUGGGGGAAACCCUGAUGCAGUGACGCCGCGUGAGUGAAGAAGUAUCUCGGUACGUAAAGCUCUAUCAGCAGGGAAGAAAAUGACGGUAACUGACUAAGAAGCCUCGGCCAACCACGGGCCAGGAGCCGCGGUAAAACGUAGGGGACAAGCGUUAUCCGGAUUUACUGGGUGUAAAGGGAGCGUAGACGGCAGCACAAGUCUGGAGUGAAAUCCCGGGGCUUAACCCCGGAACUGCUUUGGAAACUGUGCGGCUUGAGUGCAGGAGGGGUAAGCGGAAUUCCUAGUGUAGCGGUGAAAUGCGUAGAUAUUAGGAGGAACACCAGUGGCGAAGGCGGCUUACUGGACUGUAACUGACGUUGAGGCUCGAAAGCGUGGGGAGCAAACAGGAUUAGAUACCCCUGUAGUC
rnacentral:rRNA from 1 species